AUAACUAAGAGAUCAGAAACCUCAUUUGGGAGAUGCAACCUAGGGGAUUAAAAUUGAACAAAAAGUACAUGAAAAUGACAAACUUCUAAUUUUCCCCCUACAUUAAUAGAACUGAUUCAAUAAGCAACAACUAAAAAACUAAACAAGAAAUCGGAAAACAGAGCAUACCAUGGCCAUUUUCAAGAGGCCAAAUAGUAGAGAAACUUGAGAUCAUAAAUACACACGAUAACCUCAUUUACCUUUGUGCAGAGAUCACCCAGGCUUUCCUUCAUUCAACACUGCAACUUUUAAUAUCAUUCUGCUGUGCAACAUCCUUCCCAGUUUCAACAGAUGUCCCUGGAACAACCUCUCCUUCAACUUUUGCUGUUUGUGGAAGACUCUCACCAGCAACAGGAGAAAGAUUCAAGUCAUUAAUUUCAUGGGCUAUGUCACCACCAUUUGGGUCAACAACCUUAUCUGCUGCAUUACUGGACUCUGUUGCUUUACCUUCAGAAGCUGCAUGGUUAGUCUCUGAUCGCUCACCUUCAACAGCAGCAUGACUUGGUUCAGAAUGAUCAAGCUCACCAUCAUUCUGAUGUGGCUGCAAACCUUCAACCUCACCAUCUGCAAGAACUAGCUGCUGUUGAUCAUCCUUGCUAUCAACAGGAGAUAAUUGAAUCUGAUUAUCCUUGGUAGCUGCACUGUGAAAUUGAGACAGGGCAUCCUCACCAGCUGCAUCACAUUGCGCUCUAUCAUCCUUCCUCUUGCGUUUCCGGUUUGUCUUCUUGCUCAACUUCUUUCUUGCUUUAUCCUUUUUCUUCACUCUUUUGCCAAAUUUAAUGGAUGAAUGAUCAAUGUGACUAAUAACACGACAAUGACAACAUAAAUGCAUCGGAUCAGCCCUGAAUGGUGUAGCGUAAAAUUGAAUUGGCUCAACCUCCCUAGCAGUAUAAUAUUGUACUGAAUCAUCCUUCCUCUUACGUUUACCCUUGGUGUUCCUUCUUACACGUUCCUUUUCCCUUUUUCUUUUGCCAAUUUCAUUUUGUGAAGUGACUGCAACUAUGGUUGCAUCUCCAUCAUGGUCUUCUUUCUGUGAAGUGGCUGCAACUAUGGUUGCAUUUCCAUCAUGGUCUUCUUUCUGUGAAGUGGCUGCAACUAUGGUUGCAUUUCCAUCAUGGUCUUCUUUCUGUGAAGUGGUUGCAACUACGGUUGUAUCUUCAACGAGGUCUCCUAUCUGUGAAUUGACUGAAAUUACUGUUUCAUCUGCGAUAUGGUCCCCUAAACAAUCAUGUGCAAUAGACCUGAUCCUGGUUAUAGAGUCAAUUUGCAUGGGAUCCAACCCUUCGGUUAAGAAUGUAUCUGCUAAAUGUGCAAUAUCUCUUAAACCAGCAUUCAUUCUCUUCUUUUUGGUUCUGAACUUUACUGUUCUCUGAAACUGAGGCAAGGGAGACACUGGCCUUCCUACAAAUUUACGUGUAAUUCUUGAAUACCAGUGCAUGUAUUCUCUUUCAUCAACUCCGCCACCAUCAUCUUGCACAAUGUGGAGUUUACGGGCUGACCAUUCACUAAGCUCUGAUUCCAUUUUCCCCGACAGGUCUAUCCCACUGUCAACUCCACGGCUCUUUCUCUCCCAAUGAUCCACAUCUUUUGGGAUUCCUUGAAGAAUGCCAAUUUGCCUUAAGCAACGAUCAGGGAGGUGUCUUUCUGCCUUGUCGAAGCAGAUCAACAUUGUCUUUGAUCUCCCAAGAAUCAAAAUACUUCUGACACUUUUUGGGAUUAAAUUACUGUCCAAAUUAUUGUAAGGAACCCACUCCACAUCACAUGGUUUUAGGGAGUCCAAUGCCUUACGAUAAAAUAUUAUGUCCCGUUUCACUGUUGCAGCACUUUGUUUUCCCUUCCACCAAUGUACAAAUGGGAAACAAUCACGGACUGGCUCUUGGUAAAAAUUUGGUCGGCCAAUAUUAAGGUGAAAGUAACUCCAACACUGUAGUAGUGUCAAACAACCGCUGAUUGUACUUUGAGAUUUAAGAGAUGCUCUACCAAGUGCUCUAUACAAAAAAGCCAAUGCUGCAGCACCCCAUGCAUACUUUCCUGCCUUUUCAAAAUCGUCAAACAGUGGGAGGUACAUGAUAGGGACUUUGUUCCCAGUAGUAGUUGAAAAGAUUGUACUUCCCACAAGGUACAAAAGGUAAGCACGUGUGUGGCGCUCAAUCUCUUCCAGUGGUGAAUCGUCAGGACACUGGGAGAAGUACUCCUUCAACCAACUUAGUUUUACCAUUCCGCCACUCAUGUACCCAGUAUCAGGGACCCUUCCCAGAAACUUUUCACAGACUGACUUGCACGAAGUAUAUGUUACACCUAGGACAGGUUCUCCAUCAAUUGCUAACCCAAGCAACAAUGCAACAUCUUCAAGGGUUAUUGUCAUUUCUCCAACCCUCAAGUGAAAGGUGUUUGUUUCUUUCCUCCAUCUCUCAACAAGAGCAGAAAUGAGUGGAUUGUCUAGGCUAAUAGAAGGAAACCUUCUUAAAUAUCCAAACCCAGCCUUCUCCACCAACUCAAUUUGUCGUUGUGUAAGCCUCCAUUCACCCAACUUUGAAGUGUGCUCAUGACAUCUAAGCACACCACGCUCCUGCCCAUCCCAUACUGCCGAGGAGACAUGGUUUUCUUGGUCAUAAAGUACAGAAGCAUCAAUUGGCCCAGGAUUGGUUGCAUUUUGGUCCAUUAGUGAUACAGAACCAUCAGCUGGUCCAGAACUGUUUACACCAGUUUCCAUGACUGCUACUAAAGAAAACUCAAAAACAAGAACAAAGGAACUGUCAGUUCGAAAAUAAUUGACGAAUAUAUUCUAGUAGAUAUACGUGUAUAUGCAUGUCAAAACAUUUCAUCCCCCUGGAAGAAAGUCUUUUUUUCCCAUUAUAAUGAUAUGCAUACUUUGAAGAAAAAGUCUUUCUUCCAUUAUUAUUAUAAUUAUAGUUGAAAAAAUGAUCAAGUUCCACAUUAAAAUUUGUAAUAGUACAAGACAGAAAAUUAACUUUCACAUUCUAAAAUUUGAUUUUCCACAACAAAUCAUAUUUGCCAAUUCAGCUCCAUUGCAAUGAAAUUAACGAAUAAAUGUCAUUCGAAACUCAAAAUUGAUAUGAGAAAUUUUCCAUUCAACUUCUCCACAAUCUUUGCCGUUCUGAUCUCUCCAGGCAAGCUGAAUUAUAUAAAUUUGGAUGGUUUUUCUUAAUUUUUAUUUUUAAUUUGUAGUUUAGCAAAUUAUAGAGCAAUAAAUCUACUUCUAUAAUUAAGAUAUUUACACUAGCAAAAAUUUUCAGGCUAACUAAUAAUAUUAUUGUGUAUAUACCUAUACCCGAUACCUAAGCUGAAAUAAACCACCAUAAUAGAUCUAACAAUAAGAAAUCCAGAAAAGAAACCAAACCAGUACCCAUACUUCCACCAAUUGGUUGGUUGACGUUGAGCUUCAAGAAUUCAAGACAAAAAGUCUAAAUCACUGAACAAUUUAAAAUUCUGCCGGAAAGUACUUCCGUUAAGGAUUCUCCAGGGAAAAAAGUUACAUUUUCUCAACAAUAAAAAAUGAAUUCAGAGACCCAAAAGUUCAUUUAUUUAAUAUAAACUCUGCAAAAAAUAAAAAACCGCCAGCUUUCUGAUGGUAGAUUAUAAACUAUAACAGAAAUUAAAAAUAUUUUAUGUUUUCCUUUCGUUCCUUUUCUUUCCCUUAAAUUUUCCGGUGGUUUUCUGAGAAACCAAACACAGGCGUGAUAUUAGACAAACAAUAAAAGUACUGAAAUGAUACGGCAAA
rnacentral:misc_RNA from 1 species